UACGUAGGGUGCAAGCGUUAUCCGGAAUUAUUGGGCGUAAAGAGCUCGUAGGCGGUUUGUCGCGUCUGCUGUGAAAACUGGGGGCUCAACCCCCAGCCUGCAGUGGGUACAGGCAGACUAGAGUGCGGUAGGGGAGAUUGGAAUUCCUGGUGUAGCGGUGGAAUGCGCAGAUAUCAGGAGGAGCACCGAUGGCGAAGGCAGAUCUCUGGGCCGUAACUGACGCUGAGGAGCGAAAGCAUGGGGAGCGAACAGG
rnacentral:rRNA from 1 species